GGUUUCUUGGUCUAGUUGGUCAUGGCAUCUGCUUAACACGCAGAACGUCGGCAGUUCGAUCCUGCCAGAAAUCA
rfam:Yarrowia lipolytica strain CLIB122 chromosome C complete sequence.